CAAAGGCACACGUGCGCAACCGUGCGCAUACCAGGGCGCGUGUGAGAGCUUGCACAAUGUACAAAGUAUGGCGCGCGGGCGCAAACAAGCGCAGACAGGCCACCGUCAGCAGGCAGAGACAGACGCUCGCCCCUAUAUUCCGCUUUGAGUGAAAGACUGGAGAAACAACCUGACAAGGGGAUCGCCUUUCAUGUAGAAGAGAUCACUUUAAACAACUGCUUUAAUGAGCAUUGUCUAAUCACAGCACCUAUUAUAUAGGGAAGUCAUAAUACAGGACAUUGAAUUUGUAUUGUCUCUUUUGUAUUGGAUGCCAUAAAUGAAAGGUGGAAUAAAGCCAUUCUAAUAUUA